ACGAGCUGACGAGUCCACGACGGGACGAAACGCGCGUCCUGCAU
rnacentral:hammerhead_ribozyme from 1 species